AACGAACGCUGGCGGCAGGCUUAACACAUGCAAGUCGAGCGCCCAGCCCGGGGAGCGGCAGACGGGUGAGUAACGCGUGGGAACGUACCUUUUGGUUCGGAACAACUCCGGGAAACUGGAGCUAAUACCGGAUAAGCCCUAACGGGGAAAGGUUUAUCGCGGAAAGAUCGGCCCGCGGAUGAUUAGCUAGGUGGAGGGGUAAAGGCUCGCCUAGACGACGAUCAGUAGGUGGAGUGAGAGGAUGAUCAGUCACACUGAGACAGAGACACGGCCCAGACCCCUGCGGGAGGCAGCAGAGGGGAAAAAAGGACAAGGAGCGCAAGCCUGAACCGGCCAGGCCGGGAUAGUGAUGAAGGCCUUAGGAUUCUAAAGCGCUUGUGACCGGGAGGAUAAGGACUGAACCGGAAGAAUAAGCCCGGGCUAAUAUCUG
rnacentral:rRNA from 1 species